rfam:Basidiobolus meristosporus CBS 931.73 K493scaffold_88, whole genome shotgun sequence.
CGCUCCAGUUUCCUCUUCAUCUAGUCGGAUAAAUCUUUCGCCUUUUACUAAAGAUUUCCGUGGAGGGGGAACAUUCAAUGGAGCUUCGCCAAUUUUUCUUCGGCCUCACAAGAGGCUA